CCAGGAAUGAACAUGUCACAGCAAUCAUCUGGAGAUCCGAGAACAACUUCCCAGAGUCACUUCCCUCCUCCCGCCUCAGGUUCUGUGGUUUGGACUUGUGGAGCCUGGAAAGUUAUCUUCACCCCCUGAGCUGUUUCACCAGCCACAGAUCAUAAACUGGAGGUCAGCAUUGGCUACAAAGUACAAUGCUGUUUCAACAAAACCAACCUCCAACAAUAAAACCCAAGAAUAAACGUGAAAUCUCCAGCAUCUUCAGGCUAACCAGAGAGCACAGUAGGUCUGGCUGUGACACUGGAGAAUGAGAGGCAUCCACCUUCUGUCUGUCCAUCAGAGGUCAUCAAACCAGCCGGGAGCCUCAUUUAUCUCCUCAGCUUCCCAGCAGGGGAGCUUUUUAUCAGGAAAGCUAGUGACCUAGGCAGUUGCAUCACCAAAUGUCCCACCCUAGCAUGGGGACCCAGGAAAAUUGUGGCACUGGAGCAUUUUACAGGCAGCUAAGCCAAUGGAAGACUCUCUUCUGACCAGCAGUUGUUUACAGCUUAGGUAACCUCAAGGAGGGGCCCUGUUAGUGGAUCUCCUCAGUCUUCCAAGUAUCUUCCAAUUUCAAGAGGCAGAGGAAGGAAUGUUUCAAUUCAGAGGAAACAGAUACAUAACUGUUCCCAGCUCCUAGAACUUGCCAGAAGCCCUUGCCUGAGAGUUCCUCAAGCCUGGUGGAGAGUUCCUGGACCUUCCAGGGACAAAUAUAUAUACUAAGGGGAGGUCCUUGAUAUCCUGGACAAAAUGAAGACUUCUAAAAAUGUCUGCCCCAAAUUGGAAUUUUACCCAGAAGUUAUAUGAGAAGAAAAAGGGCAAUGGCCCUGGAACCAGCCAGAGAUGGAACUUGUCUCCCUUAAGAAAUUUUACACUUCUGACAUUGUCCGACCACCUUGCAAUAGAGACUGGUGCCAAGACAAUGAGUCAGUAAUGGGUAGGGUUAUUCCUAGACCAGUUAUGUAUCCCUCCUGCCUUACACUGCAAUGUAUUGUCAGGACCCUGAAGAUGAACAGGAAGCUGGGUGGGAUUGGGACAUAUGUCACUAGAACGCUUUGUUCUGCUUCCUAAUAUGGUCACUCUGAAUAAAAUCCCUG
ensembl:lncRNA